rnacentral:rRNA from 1 species
GAUGAACGCUGGCGGCGUGCCUAAUACAUGCAAGUCGAGCGAAUGGAUUAAGAGCUUGCUCUUAUGAAGUUAGCGGCGGACGGGUGAGUAACACGUGGGUAACCUGCCCAUAAGACUGGGAUAACUCCGGGAAACCGGGGCUAAUACCGGAUAACAUUUUGAACCGCAUGGUUCGAAAUUGAAAGGCGGCUUCGGCUGUCACUUAUGGAUGGACCCGGGUCGCAUUAGCUAGUUGGUGAGGUAACGGCUAACCAAGGCAACGAUGCGUAGCCGACCUGAGAGGGUGAUCGGCCACACUGGGACUGAGACACGGCCCAGACUCCUACGGGAGGCAGCAGUAGGGAAUCUUCUGCAAUGGACGAAAGUCUGACGGAGCAACGCCGCGUGAGUGAUGAAGGCUUUCGGGUCGUAAAACUCUGUUGUUAGGGAAGAACAAGUGCUAGUUGAAUAAGCUGGCACCUUGACGGUACCUAACCAGAAAGCCACGGCUAACUACGUGCCAGCCGCCGCCGUAA